rnacentral:rRNA from 1 species
GACGAACGCUGGCGGCGUGCCUAAUACAUGCAAGUUGAGCGAUGAAGAUUGGUGCUUGCACCAAUUUGCAGAGCAGCGAACGGGUGAGUAACGCGUGGGGAAUCUGCCUUUGAGCGGGGGACAACAUUUGGAAACGAAUGCUAAUACCGCAUAACAACUUUAAACAUAAGUUUUAAGUUUGAAAGAUGCAAUUGCAUCACUCAAAGAUGAUCCCGCGUUGUAUUAGCUAGUUGGUGAGGUAAAGGCUCACCAAGGCGAUGAUACAUAGCCGACCUGAGAGGGUGAUCGGCCACCUUGGGACUGAGACACGGCCCAAACUCCUACGGGAGGCAGCAGUAGGGAAUCUUCGGCAAUGGACGAAAGUCUGACCGAGCAACGCCGCGUGAGUGAAGAAGGUUUUCGGAUCGUAAAACUCUGUUGGUAGAGAAGAACGUUGGUGAGAGUGGAAAGCUCAUCAAGUGACGGUAACUACCCAGAAAGGGACGGCUAACUACGUG